UGAUGUAAGAUGGAAUUGUAUAAACAUCACUGAACACUCCACACCCAUUUCUCUGUACCAAGGACAAAAGGUUACAGGUGUCAUUUAUCUGGACUUCUGUAAAGCCUUUGACACAGUCCCCCAAAAUAUUCUUCUCUCUGAAUUGGUGUCAUGGUUUGACCCUGGCACAAUGCCAGGGCCCCCAUGAUGGGUAUAUUUCUAAAAUGGUUGCUGUGAGAUGUGACGCGGGAAUAGAACAAAGCAGGCUCCCAUUCGGGGAUGGAGGGAAAAACACAACACUUUAUUUAUUACAAAUCUAAAAAGGAACACAUACCAAGCUAAAAAUAAAAACCUUCCAGAUACCUUCCUCCUCCCCCUCCCUUUUCUCCACAAAUUCACCACCCCUCGAAUUAUCAACCCUCAAAUCCAUCAGGGAGAGAGGAGUCCCCCCUUGCCUCAUGGGCCUCCCCCGGAAGCACAAUUAAAACCUCUUGUGCUUCCGUAUCAUCCAUGGCCCCACCCAGAGAACAUCGGCCCUUGUGACUUCUCCCCACCAUGUCCAGUGCUCUCACCACUGGACACGGGCCAGGACUGCUUUUAGGGUUCCCCGUUCAAAGAUGCUCCACUUCCAGAAACAGCAGUCUCUCAACUUUGGGACACCAGUCCCCCCCAAAUUUCACCCCCUGGGGCCGAGGGACUUCAUGAAGAGUUUCAACUUUGGGACACCAGUCCCCCCCAUAUUUCACCCCUUGGGGCCGAGGGGCCUCAUGAACAGAGAUCUUCCUCUCCGUGGAGACAGAGGGCAUCUCACACCCUCCUCAGCUGUUUCUGUUCACGCCGCUGCUUCACUCUUGACUCCCUGGUGUUGCCUCCCCUUAAAUACAGUCUCUGGGUCACAGGGAAAAAACACGGGUCUGUCCAUGGCUAUACAAGAGAGAGUCCAGCUCAAGGCCACUCCAUUAUCUCUUCUACUCUUCUCUCCUCUUCCAGCUUUUCUCACACUUGCCCAUUUCAUCUCUCAUCUCUCUCUCUCACCUCAUCCUGAUUCAGGAGGAUUCAGUAUUUGUAAGGUUUCUAUUAGUCUAAAAAGGGGUUAAAAUUUUCACUUCUGCCUGCCCAAGGACUCCCACAGCUUCCGGGCACCUCUCUCUGCCGCAUCCCCCGCUUCUGGCCGGCUGAGCUGCCAGCACAAUUUCUGUCCCUCUCUCCGGAGGGGCUGCCCAGACAUCCUAAGUCUCUUCCACCCCUGCAUGUUCUCCUCCACCUCUGCACCUUCUGGGGCUCCCGGCCUCCUCCCUGUCAUGGCCUCCCCCUCCCCCACCCAGACGCAGCUGGGCAGGGGAGAGGCCAGACUCUACUCACCAACGCCGGAUUCCCAAAGAGGAAGUUCUCUGAGAAUCCCCUGCUUUUAACCCCCGUGUGUUCUCAGAGGCAUAUCCAGAUCCUCAGUGGCCGCAUCACAUGCCAAUUUUGAAUUUGGCCACUGAUUGGCCCGACUUAAACCUUUCCAGAAACACAUUUCCGGGCCAACCCACGACAAUUGGAGAGAGAUGGAUUUGAUGAGCAGACUGUAAGAUGGAUAAGAAGUUUUUUGAAUAGGCACAUCCAGAGGUUAGUGAUGAGACUCUUGAUAAAUAUCAGUGAGAAGUGUUGUCCCUCUGGAGCUUUGUGCUGGCUUUGCACAGCCUAGUUUUUGGUAGCAGGGAGGGCCACAGAGGUGGCUUCUGUGAGAAGCUGCUAGAAGCUUCCACCAUGUCCAGAAGAGCCAAUCCCUGAUGGGUCUGAAGAUGGACAUGCCUCUGGUCAAGCCUGGGCAAAUUAGAGAGAGAAGAGGAGGAGGUGAGACCAUGUCGGGGAAACAACAUGGAGACACCAAGGGCUAUCUUCUGCUAAUGCACCAUCAAGUCUCACUGCAUGACUGAUAAAUUACAUCAUCCCAUUGUCAAAUGCUCAGCCCAGGAAGAGGAAGCAAGCAUUGCUACCUGGAUAUAAUCUGAGAUUUGGAAAACAAUGGGCAGCCCUACCUACUGAACUCCCAGAGGACAAGAGCUUCAUAACCACCCCUGGACCUUCGGAAGAAGACCAGACCCUUCUACACGAUCAGAACCACAGAACCAUAUCUAUCACUCCAACACGACUGCAGCCACCAUUUAAUCAGAGUGCUACCACCACCCUGACCAACAGGGUGUCAGGCUGUACCCUGACUCUGUCAGUUUAAGCCAGUCUUUUCUGCCUUUAUUUUGAUUUUCCUAUUAAAUUGUAGUUCUGACUUGGAAUCUCUCACUGGUUUACUUUCAAACUAGUAUGCUGCCCAAGGCAGGGGGGUUGGAAUUAGGUGGUCUUUAAGGUCUCUUCCACCUCAAGCCAUUCUAUGAUUCUAUGACUCCUAAACAUGUCUGUGGUUGAGUUAAAUAGAGUUACUGUAGCUUCCACUCUGGUACGUCUGACUGUAGUAGAAAAUGGACCAAAUUCUUAAUGUUGAUUUUUGUUGUCUCCAACUGAAAUGCAAACUAUAUGGUUGAUAGCAGCAUGCCAUUUGUUACAGAUACCAUUUCAGUCUCAGUUCAUCUCUCCACUAUGUCAGUGAAGACAAGAUCUGUAGCCUUGAUGUUGCAAGUCAUCACAUUGUACUCAGCAGGAAACACAAAGUUUUAAUGCACCAGGGCAAAUCAAAAUCAAACAGACAUAUACAGCCCCUUCUUCCCAGAGAAACAACCUCCAGUACAAACCUCCAUAACUGCGCCUCUGCUAUGAAGAAUAAAGGCCAAGGAAAAAGAGUUUUACAGUGCCUUUGAUUAUGCAGAAUGUGAUGAUUGCUGCUAAUCAAUGUUUGGGAAAAUGAUAUCUGUUCUAUUAGCCAACAAGAGGCAAGUUUUUUAUGUCCUUAGAAAUAAAGCAAGCAUGUAGCCUUAUGUCCAGAACAAAAUAAAAUUGCAAACAAAUAGGGACAUUUGCAAAAUACCCUCUAAUAAUAUUGACAAGAGGUAUUCUAACAAAUUUCUGUCCUUGGAUCAUAAUGGAGAACAAACAGCAAUAUACAUGGAGGUAUUAGAGAGAAAAGAUAUCAAAGGAGUUGUUUGAGAAAAAUUAAAGAAAUGCUUUUAGUAAAGAGAUAUUGGAACAAGUAGGAAAGCUGUGGAAAUCUAGAAGUAAGUAUGAUAAGGAAGAAACUGAUUGGAAACUUCACUUCCAUGAUCAGAAAACUUUCUCACCUUUGGUUACUCAGCCUGGUUCCAACAUGUGGAUGCCUGAGCUUGAAUUGCUUUGUAGUAAUUCUUUCCCAAGAGUUAUAGUAGUAACCCUGUAACCUGAGCAAACUUUGUCCUUGUUUGUCUACAGGCACCCCCAGCCACACUGUUCACAGACUCCUUGUAUUUACAGCUGUAUGUACACAUGAAGAAAACAGCAUAAGCAUAGCCUAUAGAAAAGGCUUUAGGUACAGCCCACCUGAGAAACUAUCCAUACUCUGAACACAGAAGAAUUUUAAUCUCAUAAGGAUAAAGAGAAAAUCAGUGGUGUAAUUGCAACUACUGCUCUUUUUAAUUUAUGCAAACUGCAGUGCCUCUCAAAGUAAUGAAAUUUCCCAAAGGAACUUCAUAUGUCUCACCACGUCAAGGCAUAGGAAAUGAAAUAUUCUUUAGCUCACACGAGGCUGAAAGAAAAGGAAGCACUGUGAAUUUGCAUUGGAAGGAAAACAUCAGUUGCCGUCAGAAAACUCAACUUUGACCUUGUUACCUUUUGAUUUUCUCAUCACCCUUUUCAGAUAUAAGCUGUAGGAUAUUUUAUUGCUCUUUUCCAACCUGGUGCUCUGCAUCAUCAGAUGACUUGCUGUAACUCCAUCUCAUUAGGGACACCAUCACUUGUAGCUAUGUUAGUAGUCAAUUAAUUGAACAGAAGACCCUUUGCUGAGUCUUCUGUUGUUGCUUCAGUCUGAUAUGGAACAAGACAUGAGUCUCUGCUCCAAUAAGAUUGGUCUGGCAA